UAACAACCGCGUUAGGGAUUGCAGUGAAAAUCCUUUUUUGUUAUUCUGAGUAAAGCGAAGAAUACACCAAAAAAGAUUGUAGCGGAAAGCCCGCCCCAUA
rfam:Tenacibaculum mesophilum strain DSM 13764 genome assembly, contig: Ga0131220_103